GAUGAACGCUGGCGGCGUGCCUAAUACAUGCAAGUCGAGCGAACGGACGAGAAGCUUGCUUCUCUGAUGUUAGCGGCGGACGGGUGAGUAACACGUGGAUACCCUACCUAUAAGACUGGGAUAACUUCGGGAAACCGGCGCUAAUACCGGAUAAUAUUUUGAACCGCAUGGUUCAAAAGUGAAAGACGGUCUUGCUGUUGAUCACAGAUGGAUUCGCGCUGCAUUAGCUAGUUGGUCAGGUAACGGCUUACCCAGGCAACGAUGCAUAGCCGACCUGAGAGGGGGUACGCGCACACUGGAACUGGGACACGGUCCAGACUCCUACGGGAGGCAGCAGUAGGGAAUCUUCCGCAAAGGGCGAAAGCCUGACGGAUCAACGCCGCGUGGGUGAUGAAGGUCUUCGGAGCGUAUGACGCUGUUAGUGUUGAAGAACAUAUUUGUAAGUAACUGUGCACAUCGUGACGGUACCUAGUCAGAAAGCCACGGCUAACUACGUG
rnacentral:rRNA from 1 species